ACUCCUGCGGGAGGCAGCAGUGGGGAAUAUUGGACAAUGGGCGCAAGCCUGAUCCAGCCAUGCCGCGUGAGUGAUGAAGGCCCUAGGGUUGUAAAGCUCUUGCACCGGUGAAGAUAAUGACGGUAACCGGAGAAGAAGCCCCGGCUAACUUCGUGCCAGCAGCCGCGGUAAUACGAAGGGGGCUAGCGUUGUUCGGAUUUACUGGGCGUAAAGCGCACGUAGGCGGACUAUUAAGUCAGGGGUGAAAUCCCGGGGCUCAACCCCGGAACUGCCUUUGAUACUGGUAGUCUUGAGUUCGAGAGAGGUGAGUGGAAUUCCGAGUGUAGAGGUGAAAUGCGUAGAUAUUCGGAGGAACACCAGUGGCGAAGGCGGCUCACUGGCUCGAUACUGACGCUGAGGUGCGAAAGCGUGGGGAGCAAACAGGAUUAGAUACCCUAGUAGUCCCA
rnacentral:rRNA from 1 species